GGGGUAAACAAUCUGUGCGUGGAAUGGGGAGUGGUGAAUGUGCAAGUUCGAUGAUAGGCGCUGAUGUCGUCGAUUUUUAUUUAUACUUUUAUCCUUAUUAUACAUUCUGAUCAUUUUUUAUGUUCAGGAGUUUUCUCUGUUGAUUUAGCAUCAAAAACGGUGUGUUUACAAUCUGUGCGUGGAAUGGGGAGUGGUGAAUGUGCAAGUUCGAUGAUAGGCGCUGAUGUCGUCGAUUUUUAUUUAUACUUUUAUCCUUAUUAUACAUUCUGAUCAUUUUUUAUGUUCAGGAGUUUUCUCUGUUGAUUUAGCAUCAAAAACGGUGUGUUUAACUGUUAUUGCCAAGUGCCAUAUUUAUAUUGAAAUUGGGGUACAAUUCAACAUUCACUGGUUUUUCUAUGGCCUGUUGUGCAUCAUAUUAUUGGAAUGGUAAUGUGAAUAUACGUACUCCAUACACUGCUACUUUUGGGUAUAUAUAAAUGUUUGACCUGAUUUUACUUCACUUCACCUUAUGUUUUUUUGCAGGAACAGUUAUCACACCAUUAUUGUGCAAAAAAUAAGGGUGGUUUAACGCGGUACUCUGCCAGCCACUUUUGGCUUCCAUAGAUAUCAACAAGCCUAUACCUCCAACACUACCAGAGGUUGACGCUAUCUCCACGGAAUGCGCUGGCAGCUGCUGGCAGCGCGCCCAUGAAACACAGCCAGGGGUUUCCUCUGUAAAGUCAUUGUUGUCUAGGUACAUGGGCCUUUACCAAUUGUUAACAGCUACAAAAAUUGGAAUUAAAAAUGUUCAGGUAUUUUGAGCAUCAGCUAAACAGGGAAGAGAAUUCGGCUACAGCCCAUCUUGCAACGCCUCAAUGAAAUUUAACGAGAAACUUAAAUUGAAGGAGCAGCUAAUUAACUGAGGCAAAGCCCAUAAAUCCUUGUGGAUUUACCUACAUACCUAAGGUAAAUCCACAAGGCACCUUGAGUUCAAACUAUGAAGUGACUCCAAGCGAAAUAUAGCAGAAAUUGGGACUUAAAGGAGCUUAGAAAUAAUCUGCUUAGUUCAUUUGAAAUGUAUUGUUACCCACUUUCUAACCAUGCAUAUUUUUGUGUCUUGUGAGGUCUCAUAUAGCAAUAAAAAUAGAAAAGUUAUACAAGAGCAGUGACAUGCAUAGUUUGCUUGUGUUGUCACAACUUUGUACAAUAUUUCCAGCUGUAUAAUAUGCAGUUAUCAGUCACAUUGGGCAUCACACAUGUAUUUUUUUCCUGCAGGAGGGAAGACACAGGAGGGAACAGUAUAUAUAACUAGUGACUCAUGUUUUUGCUUCUAUCGCUUCACCCCUGGGGAAUCAGUUCCUGUACACCCCUUGAAUAUAAUGGUCACCAAGGGGUGCUGUCCUGACAUGUUCACUUUCUGUUGAGAAGGUUAGAACAAACACCAUGUGUGUCAUUUAGUUGCAUAUAUAAUACUUCAAUGUUAAGUAUGCAUAAAGUCUGAAGUCUGUAGCCACUCUUAAUCCUAGGUUGUCGUGACGUUAAUUUAGCCUGGGUGGAUAUUUUGCUGUGCUAAAAGCACGGACUCCGCUACGCCCCAGUACGGCGGCUGGGGCGCCUCCCCUGGAAGAAAACGGCGCCGGGGAGGGGGACGGACACUGUUACACUUGCGGUUUUUUGUGUGAGGUAGCGUAUAGUGUAUACCCUUCUUACAAGUAUUUAUUAUGGACAAUGCAUGCGGGUGACCUCCACUGCACGUGACACGUGUAAAACGGAGAGGUGUCACUUUUGUUGUAAUGACAAUAGCACAGUACAACUUGAUUGUUAUGACAAUAACUACAUUAUAAAAAGGAUGUAGGCACCCACUGGGCAAUGUGUUUAAAUGUGUCACGGUUGGGGUGCAACUGCCAACUGCACGUGCACAUGUGCAAGGUGACGCUUCCAGAUCUCAAGAACGGCUGGGCCGAUUGUGCUCAGAUUUGGCACAUCGCUAGAGACCGGAGACAGAUUGAAGUGCAGCCAACACUGCAUGGUGCUUCUCGCAAGAGCUGACCCAUUGCUGUUUUUCAACUCUUCUGGAAAAGAUCCCGAAAGAAGAUAACUGCUUGUUUUCUUCACCGCCACCAGUCUACCUGCUCUCUGCACACUCGGCAGAGCGCGGCAGGGCACCCCACGGAGCUGCACUAGUCACAUCCGGGCCCCACGCCGGUCGACGGCCGAUGCGAUGGAGGCACUACUCCGAGCUGGACUGGUGGCCGGCUCGGAGCUGGUGGAUGUCGACCGCGGAGCGGCGAUCUACUCCUUCCACCGGGCCCGGCAGCAGGAGCUCCAGAUGUCCUUGUGCCACCCGUCCGGCCAGGCCUCCAUCCACCUUGUAGAGGCGGAGCGGGAGACGGUGAAGCUCACGGCUCCGUUGGAACAUGGCCGCUGGGAGGCCUGCGGCGCGGACGACGGAUGCGGCAGUUGGUCAAGACACGGCAGCCUACUCGAGGUGCUUCUCGCCUGGAGGACGCAGGCGAAUCGCGUUAUCCGAGCUGUGCCUCGUCAUGGUGCGAUGAGCCUUAAUAGACUAAUGCAUAUUCUUCCUUUGGUUGUAAUUCAUUUGCUGCUGCCCGCUGGGCUAAGGAGUAACUCUGGGCGCCUACUUUGGGCAGACGCUGGUCCAGUGCCGCCUUUCGUUUGCCGCACUUAUCUUUAUUUAUUCUUUGUUACAAUUCCGUCUUUGGUCAUUUUUUUUUUUACCAUGGGGGGCACUUGAAAGUUUUGUUUUUAAAUCUGUGGACAUUGAACCUGGAAUCGGUUUUUUGUCGGAUUUCGGUUUUGUUUUUGCACUGUGGAAAUAUCUCGUUCAAUAUUUUUUUUAAGAUAGGGCGUGCUAAAACUUUUAGUCUCAUUACUCCUCUGUGCAUCUAAAUUCUAAAGUAAUAUAAUGUGCAUCUCAAGUGUUUGGUGCUGUACUGUUAUUAUUUAUGGUUAAUCCAGUGCUGUACUGUUAUUAUUUAUGGUUAAUCCAGUGCUGAUUUAUGGUUAAUCCAGUUUUUAUUCGAUUGAAUCGUUGUGUGUAAUGUGCAUGACAUCCGCGUACCGCCUGUAGCAGUGUUAUAUAUUUUCAUUUAUGCUGGAAAAUAAUAACUUUCUUGUUCA
rnacentral:lncRNA from 1 species